AGAAUUUGAACCACUAAUGGGCAAAGCUGUGGUACACAUGAAUAAUUGAUAUCUAACCUUAGAUUCUGAGUGGAGAAAUCAUCUGCCAGAUUUGUGGUCAGUUUACUGUACUCUUCUAUGAAAACAGGUUCGUAAUGGAACCUUUGCAGUGUGGAAGCAACUUAAUUGAUCCUGAGUAUCAGCGAGUUGAGUCUGGAUUUGGGAAGAAAAGAGCAAUAAGAAGAAUACAGACUUGUGAACUAAAUGUUUAAAAGUGCGGAAUUGUGGUGACAACCAAAGUUUCAUGACAGCACAUUACAUUUCCUUCAAGACAUGACAUUUUUAAAAAAGUCUUAAUUCAUAUAAGACUAUAUUUUUUUAAUUUUUCAGGGAUCUGGUAUCCAGAUUGAACUAAGAAAAAAGUAAAAUGUUGCCUUAUGGAGAAGGCAUCUGUGCAGUGAGAAACAGAGAUUUCAUCCUGUACAAAACUCUCUCAGGCUGAAAUAUUGAGCAAAAAGUUUUCUAAAAGGCACACAUUUAAUCCUGGUUUAAGGAAAAGACCAUUAAAGACAGAAUAUUAGAAACAAAAUCCCCAUGGUAAUGCAUGCAAAUAUUCACAAUACAAAUCUCUGAAAUGCAAAAAGAAUAAUAUGAUUUCAAUACAUGGUUGAAAAUUAAUUUAUAUUCUAAGCAGCUCUGAGUGUAUCAGUUAUAUUUGAACAAUGAAAUUCAAGUGAAUCAUGUAGAAAUUAGAGUUAAUACUUGGUAUGGAUUCUAUUUCAUUUGUGUACUCUCUGUAAGCAAUGUAAUUACAUAAAAAAAGAGAUGGUUCAUCAUUAAGAAAUGACUUUUCCAUCUGGGCCUAUGAAUUAUUUUACUAGAAAGUAAUAAUAAUUUCUUGCUAAUGCAUAUAUCAAUUACUGCCAUAACAUAAUAAUAGCAAUGGUAAAUAUUAAAUAUUUAUUUUUUAUAUAUAUUUUGCUCAUAUAAAAUGACUCAGACUGGAGAUUUCAAGAGAUAGAGAGGAGUUUCUCAAAUCAGAUAACAGGUAGUGUAAUGUCACCUUGAACCAUAUAAAAAUACUUUUUUUUAAUAGGUUAUAGGCCCAGGGGCGUCGGGGUGACUCGGUCGGCUAAACAUCUAACUUUAGCUCAUGAUCUCACAGCUUGUAAGUUGGAGCCCCACAUCAGGCUCUGUGCUGACAGCUCAGAGCCUGAAGCCUGCUUCAGAUUCUGUGUCCCCUUCUCUCUCUGCCUCUCCCCUGCUCAUGCUCUGUCUCUCUCUCCUUCAAAAACAAAUAAACAUUAA